rnacentral:misc_RNA from 1 species
GUUAUUUUUAAGUUACAUCGGAGCUACCCCGAAUUGAAUGACAUUCAAAAUAGACUUUUGAGCUUGUUAAAGCGAGACAGCGUGCGUUAUACCCACCCGCAGUCCCUUUGAUGCACAGGUGUGUGGGGUUGUGGAUGAAGGGGCGGAACGAGCCCGCACAACGGCGUCUCCGCCUGUGCGAGGCGGGGCCCACCGCCCCCAGUUUGUUUCAUUAAUGAUCCUUCCACAGGUGAACCUGCAGAAA